GACGAACGCUGGCGGCGUGCCUAAUACAUGCAAGUCGAACGCUUCUUUCCUCCCGAGUGCUUGCACUCCAUUGGAAAGAGGAGUGGCGGACGGGUGAGUAACACGUGGGUAACCUACCCAUCAGAGGGGGAUAACACUUGGAAACAGGUGCUAAUACCGCAUAACAGUUUAUGCCGCAUGGCAUAAGAGUGAAAGGCGCUUUCGGGUGUCGUUGAUGGAUGGACCCGCGGUGCAUUAGCUAGUUGGUGAGGUAACGGCUCACCAGGGCCACGAUGCAUAGCCGACCUGAGAGGGCGAUCGGCCACACUGGGACUGAGACACGGCCCAGACUCCUACGGGAGGCAGCAGUAGGGAAUCUUCGGCAAUGGACGAAAGUCUGACCGAGCAACGCCGCGUGAGUGAAGAAGGUUUUCGGAUCGUAAAACUCUGUUGUUAGAGGAGAACAAGGACGUUAGUAACUGAACGUCCCCUGACGGUAUCUAACCAGAAAGCCACGGCUAACUACGUG
rnacentral:rRNA from 1 species